rnacentral:rRNA from 1 species
CCUACGGGAGGCUGCAGUGGGGGAUAUUGCACAAUGGGGGAAACCCUGAUGCAGCAACGCCGCGGGAAGGAAGAAGGUCUUCGGAUUGUAAACUUUUGUCAAGGGGGAAGAGAAUGACGGUACCACAGGAGGAAGCUCCGGCUAACUACGUGCCAGCAGCCGCGGUAAUACGUAGGGAGCGAGCGUUGUCCGGAUUUACUGGGUGUAAAGGGUGCGUAGGCGGCUAGACAAGUCAGGUGUGAAAUCCCGCCGCUCAACUGCGGGGCGGCACUUUAAACUGUAGAGCUUGAGUGAUGGAGAGGUAAGCGGACUUCCUAGUGUCGCGGUCAAAUGCGUAGAUAUUCGGAGGCACACCAGUGGCG